CGUUCAUCAAUAACGAGUACACUUCAAACACAGCCCCGGCCACCACCUCGCUCACUCACUCACAGUCAAGGUGUUUCAGAAUAUAAUUAACAACAAAAGAACUAAUCUACUCGGGAGGCUGACUACAAAUAAACACGCUGAGUUGAGCACAUGUGGAGCGAAUGGACCGUAAGCCGCCACUGUUGUAGGAUGGGGAAAAAUGGUCCACUGUAGAGCAUGGACGCUGCCUCAAAACUGUUGUAUAUGGAUACUCGUCGACUCAUGGCAAGCCUCGAGGCAAACGAGGAGAGCUGACCCACAGAGAUCUGUUUCUGCUGAAUGGUGCGGAGGAGUGCUGCCCAUAUUCGAUCAUUGAUCGUUGCUUGAAUGGCAUGAGUUUAAUUCCGUUGUGACCAGGUUGGAGAGAUUUGCGGUGCGCAUCCUUCGGACAAGUUCCGCUACGUCAGGUAUUUAUCUUCUCCCGAACGACACCGGAAAUGGCGAUGCUAGCGGUAGAGGAGAGAACUUAGCAUAUCUUCACUGCACUAGAAGCCAAAGGAAGGAUUCUGCUGUUUUGCUAGCUUGCUUGCUCAAAGUCCGUAUGUAAGAACGAAGAUGAAACUCCUCGCAGGUGUAGGUGGUGGUGGUUGGGUAAAUAUUCAUUCACUUUAGUUUCGGUGGGGUUCCAAUAUUACACGGUUGAACGGAUGGAUGAUGUUGUUGCUGAGCGGCGGAAUGAAAAUUUACAUCUAUCUGAGUUGCGGGGUAUAUUUGUGCAAGUUUGUGAUACAGAAUUAGAUAUAAGACGUGUACCGAGCGUGAGAUACGCAUAUUUUAAGGCAAAGGGGUGUAAAAUGGUUGGAGUCCCGCAGUUUUAUCAAUGAAUAUGUAACUUAAAUUAUUGAGUUGCGAAUGGUUAUUGAAAGAUUCAACCGAGACAAAUGUGUUCGAUAGAGGCCAAUUGGCAAUAGGAAUUAAAGGGCUUGGCCGGGUAAGAGAGUAAAAAGUGCCCCCAAAUCAAAUUACUAGCUGGCAAAUAUUGUAUAGAACAUUAAAUAAGAAAUUUUGGCAGUUUUUUUGAACCCCUAUGUGGAUUAGCAUAAGGUCUAUGGUAAAAAACGUUCGUUUAUUUCACGCCAUCCUCAAAAGCUUCGAGAUGAAAAUUUGAAAAAAAUACUGGAUGUGCAUCUUACUACGGUGUAUCAAGAAAAAUUAUCAAAAAAAAAAUUAAUCAAAAAUUAAAAUACUAUAAAAAAUUCAAAUUUAGAAUUUUUUUUUUGAUUUUCAGAUUUAGUACUUCUCUAAUUCAUAUUUAAAUGUGUUCCUACGGCUUUCCUAGAUAUGUGUGGUUUUUUCAGUUUUUUUCCAGUGUUGCGCGGUACAAAUAUUUUUUUUAUAUUUCCAAAGGGUCUGGCGGUUUUUGGGUAAGGGAGUAAAACGUGCCCCCAAACCGAAUCCCCAGCUGUAUGGAAGAUAUUGUAUAGGGUACAUAAUAAAACAUUUUGGCAGUAGUACCAUAUAUUCGAGUCCUUAUAUGGUACACCAUAGGAUCUAUAGUGAAAAAUGCACCUUUUCGUUUUUUUACGCCAUUUUCAAUAGCUUUGAGACAAAACAUAAGAAAAAAAAAUACUGAAAGUACAUCUUACAGACAGCGCUUGUCAAUGUCAUUUUGCUAUUGUGUAUUUAUAGGCGUUAUUUGUACUUAUUUAAAGUAAUAAGAGUUAAAAUUAAAAAAAAACUCCAGAAACACUUUUUAUUCAACUUCAUUCAAUUUCAAUAGUCUAUUAAUUCAGUACCCUCAAAACAAAAUUUGGUCUGCCUGUGAGACCGUAUCCUCGAGUAUGGUAGGGUUAACACGUAGAACCCCGAUUUUUUUGCUGUGCUUUCCAUUCAACCCGCAUUGAGAGCGUUUGCAUGAUAUCAGCGUCGGUCCCAGCUUCCAAAGAUACUUAUUGCAUGGAUAGAAAAUAGUCAGAAAUUCGACUUGUUAGUAGUCAGAUUUUGUAAAACAUCCGAAACAAACCGUAUGCAUUUUUAUUUUCUUAUUUUGUAACUGUCAGUCCCAGUCAGUUAGAUUCGAUCCUUAUAAUCAUCACACCGAACUUCGUAUCGUAUUUUGUAAAUCGAUAGAAUCUUAUCGAAACGAGU